CCUACGGGCGGCAGCAGUGGGGAAUAUUGCACAAUGGGCGAAAGCCUGAUGCAGCAACGCCGCGUGAGCGAUGAAGGCCUUCGGGUCGUAAAGCUCUGUCCUCAAGGAAGAAAAUCACGGUACUUGCGGAGCAAGCCCCGGCUAACUCCGUGCCAGCCGCCGCGGUAAUAUGUAGGGGGCUAGCGUUAUCCGGAAGUACUGGGCGUAAAGGGUGCGUAGGUGGUGUCUUAAGUGAGCGGUGAAAGGCUACGGCUCAACCGUAGUAAGCCUUUGAAACUGGGGAACUGGAGUGCAGGAGAGGAGAGUGGAAUUCCUAGUGUAGCGGUGAAAUGCGUAGAUAUUAGGAGGAACACCAGUUGCGAAGGAGGCUCUCUGGACUGUAACUGACACUGAGGCACGAAAGCGUGGGGAGCAAACAGGAUUAGAUACCCCUGUAGUC
rnacentral:rRNA from 1 species